AUUGAACGCUGGUGGCAGGCCUAACACAUGCAAGUCGAGCGGAGCGGCGGACGGGUGAGUAAUGCCUAGGAAUCUGCCUGGUAGUGGGGGAUAACGUCCGGAAACGGGCGCUAAUACCGCAUACUAUCAGAUGAGCCUAGGUCGGAUUAGCUAGUGGGUGGGGUAAAGGCCUACCAAGGCGACGAUCCCUAGCUGGUCUGAGAGGAUGACCAGCCACACUGGAACUGAGACCCGGUCCAGACUCCUACGGGAGGCAGCAGUGGGGAAUAUUGCACAAUGGGCGCAAGCCUGAUGCAGCCAUGCCGCGUGUAUGAAGAAGUCCUUCGGGUUUUAAAGUACUUUCAGCGGGGAGGCGUUACCCGCAGAAGAAGCACCGGCUAACUCCGUGCCAGCAGCCGCGGUAAUUC
rnacentral:rRNA from 1 species